rnacentral:snoRNA from 1 species
AAUCGCUGUGAUGACUCUGUAAAAGUUCAAGCUCAACAGACCGUAUCGUCAGGGGUUUCUCUACUUUUUGAGAGCCUUUGCAUGUCGAUUCUACUUCUAUCCUGAGCGAUC